GCCAGGCACAGUUGCAUGCACCUGUUGUCCCAGGUCUUCUGGAGGCUAAGGCAGAAGAAUCACUUGAGCCCUGGAGUUCAGGGCUGUCAUGCACUACAUUGAUCUGGUGUUUAGGCUAAGUUCGGCAUCAAUAUGGUGACUUCCUGGGAGUGGGGACCACCAGGUUGCCUAAGGAGGGGUGACCGAAAGUUGGAAACAGAGCCGGUCAAAACUCCUGUGCAAUUCCAGUAGUGGAAUUGCACCCUUCUGAAUAGCCACUGCCCCUCCAGCGUGGGCAACAUAGCAAGACCCUGCCUCUU
ensembl:misc_RNA Metazoa_SRP Metazoan signal recognition particle RNA